UACGAAGGGGGCUAGCGUUGUUCGGAAUUACUGGGCGUAAAGCGCACGCAGGCGGCUCGAUAAAUUAGAAGUGAAAGCCCCGGGCUUAACCUGGGAAUUGCUUUUAAGACUGUCGGGCUAGAAUCCAGAAGAGGGUAGUGGAAUUCCGAGUGUAGAGGUGAAAUUCGUAGAUAUCGGGAGGAACACCAGUGGCGAAGGCGGCGAUCUGGGAAGAUACUGACGCUGAGGUGCGAAAGCGUGGGGAGCAAACAGG
rnacentral:rRNA from 1 species